rnacentral:rRNA from 1 species
AUUGAACGCUGGCGGCAGGCCUAACACAUGCAAGUCGAGCGGGGUUUUCGGACCUAGCGGCGGACGGGUGAGUAAUGCGUAGGAAGCUACCCGAUAGAGGGGGAUACCAGUUGGAAACGACUGUUAAUACCGCAUAAUGUCUACGGACCAAAGUGUGGGACCUUCGGGCCACAUGCUAUCGGAUGUGCCUACGUGGGAUUAGCUAGUUGGUGAGGUAAUGGCUCACCAAGGCGACGAUCCCUAGCUGGUUUGAGAGGAUGAUCAGCCACACUGGAACGGAGACACCGUCCAGACUCCUACGGGUGGCAGCAGUGGGGAAUAUUGGACAAUGGGCGCAAGCCUGAUCCAGCCAUGCCGCGUGUGUGAAGAAGGCCUUCGGGUUGUAAAGCACUUUCAGUAAGGAGGAAGCGUUGAGUGUUAAUAGUACUCAGCGUUGACGUUACUUACAGAAGAAGCACCGGCUAACUCUGUGCCAGCCGCCGCCGUAAGAC